AUGUGCUCCUGGAACACCCGGCAGAUGGUUUUUGGAGCUGGCACGAAGCUCUUUGUGGAGCCCCAAAUUCAGCUUCCUACUACACCAUCUGUUUUCAUUAUGAAAAAUGGAACGAAUGUUGCCUGUCUGGUAAAGGACUUCUAUCCCAAGGACGUGAAUAUAAGUCUCAAGUCAUCCAAGAAGAUAGCAGAAUUUGACCCUGCUAUAGUCAUCUCCCCCAGCGGGAAGUACACUGCUGUCAAGCUUGGUCAGUAUGGAGAUUCGAAUUCAGUGACAUGUUCGGUUCAGCACAACAGUGGAACUGUGCACUCUACAGACUUUGAACCACAUGCAAAUUCUCCUGAUGACAUAAAACCACCAGAACAGGAAAGUGUCACACAAACUUCAGAGACUUGCCAUGGCUCAAAAGUUCACAGCAAGAAGGUUAACAUGAUGUCCCUCGUAGUGCUGGGGCUACGGAUGCUGUUUGUCAAGAGUGUGGCCAUCAACUUUCUCUUUACUGCCAAGUUACUCUUCUUUUAA